UUUGUAGAUGUUAAAAGUAAGAGACAUGGGAGAGCAUCAUUCCUUUGAGAUUUUAUAACUCAAACCAACUUUGGAGUUGUCUGAUUUGGAGAGUCAUUAUUCUGGUUCUUCGCUCUUAGAGGCCACUGAUGAAGAACAGGCGGUGACUGGGAUGAAUGCUGGUCAGAGAGGAGAAUCUUCUUUCCCCUAAACAGCGGUGGUUUUAAAGGAGGACGCUGCCCUGGAUGAUGUAGAAGAUGUCACAAAGAGAUCAUGAAAAUUGACUGUGAUGCAUGAUCUGUAUUCAUGGACUAUGAAACAAACUGUAAGUGUAUAAUUUGUUAAAAAAAAAAAGUUAAAUGCUUUUUCUGUGUUGUUUAGUAGAAGAAUUUACACUCUGUCAUUCAUACACCUGCUCACAUUCUUUCACACACACACACACACACGCGUCUGUUAAAUGUUAUAUCAAAGUUAAUGUUGUGAUUUAUUUGUGUACUGUCAUGCAAGAAUAGUUGGUAAAUUUAUUGUAUGUGUUUUCAUAUAUUUUUAUACAAUAUAUACAAAUGAACAAAGUCCAAUUUGAUCUUAAGUUAUAUUCAUCAAAUGUUCAAUGCUUUAUGAACUCUGUAGCUGUUAAUGCCAUCCUUUUCUGCAUUUCUUCUAACAUGUUACUUUUUGACUUUUCUCUUGUUUUUAAUAAAUAUUUUCCUUUUGGUAAUUAUUA